AGGGACGGGCGUGAUGUCGGUGGCACUCUCCGUGAGGCAGGGACGGGACAGCGAGGGUGGCCGGAGCCGGGGGGCACCUUAACGGGGACAGUCCGCGGGGCCGAGCGCCGGGGUUCCCGGGCUGCCCCCGCCACCGCCCUCCCCACCGGCUGACAUUUGCCAUGCGCAGACAACACGCACUUCAACCAACAAUUCAGCCCGAGCCCCGCUGCAAACUCGCUGGGUUAUUUUUCUCGUCGUUCUCCGCUUGUUUAUGGCUGACGCUAUCUCGCCUGCACCGCUCCCUCGGUUUCAUUAUCUCUCCUCGCAGAUGGCCAUGGCUUUCCUUCUUCAUAGGGCUUCUCUCUGCUGGUGCUAGAGCUCCCUCUCCUCUCCCCAGCUCUGCAUCCCUCACCCUUGCUUACAGGCGAGCCUUCCCCAGCGAAGCUCUUCCAGCCAUCCUUCCUCCUGCAGUCCCCUCUCCUCUGAAGACCCCAGCAUCCCGUAAAAUAAAGCCAAUGGCGCUAAUGUAAUAACAGUGACAUUGUGCCCAGCGGGACCAGGGCAGUGACCGUCCCUGUGCUGGGGCACCUCCCACCCCCUCGAGACAGACGUUGAGGGGCUGGAGAGUGUUCUGGGAAGGGGCUGGAGCACCAGGAGCGGCUGAGGGAGCUGGGAAGGGGCUCAGCCUGGAGAAAAGGAGGCUCGGGGGGACCUUCUGGCUCUGCACAGCUCCCUGACAGGAGGGGACAGCCGGGAUUAAAGAAGUGCAACCAUUUCCAAGGAUUCAAAGGCAUGGUGGGAAAAGGAAAAAAGUUUUUUACCUCAUUGGCAGAGAAUUUAAGGAUGAGUGUAACAGCCAGUGUGUCCCUAAGACAGCACCUGAGUGGGUAAUGUCUGUGACAUCCUUUAAGGAAGAUGCUUCCUCUGGAUCACUUUCUUAGCCACCACAUGAGCCAUCCUAGUGGAGCUGGGAGCCUCCAUGCAGCCUGGAUCCUGAGCCCUGGGUUCAUUCUGAUCUUGGUUGUGCUGGUUCCCUGUGGAGAACUCUGACCACCCUUCCAAAAUACUCUGUGACUGUUUUCCUUUCUCAGAGACUGAGAUAGAGGAAAUAUAUCACAGAGCAAUAGCUGGGCAAAUGCAAAUCCUCCUUGCAGAGUUCUUUUAACUUCAAGCCACUAAAUACACAUUUGGUCUAUGGAACUGUAUUUACUUCCCCUCUCAGAGGGACAAGCUUUGUCAGCUGUAAUGAUGAGCUGUUGUUUGACAUUCAUAAUAUUGUACUUGACUGCUUAUCUGAUGGAGGCAUGCAAAGCUAUUUAGGGGCUUCUGAAAUGUGACAGCCCACAUGAAGCUUUUUUAGAUUUCACAAAACGCCUUCAGGAGGCAGGAGAAUAUGGCAUGGGAAUGGCUGGCUGGAACAACAAGCCUGCCUGAAUGCCAGCGGGGUGGCUGGAGCUGGGGAGGAGGAAUGGGCUUUGAAAGUUUGCAGCUUUUGUUGUGUGCUGUCAAAGGAAGAACUUGCAGCCUGAAGGAACAGGCAUGGUGGAUGCCAUGGGUGGGGGACUGUGGGGAUUAUUGAUCCUGCCUGGAAAAGGCAUAAAGAUGGAGGCAAAUAUGUUAAAACCUGUUUGGACCAUCCACAGACAGAAGGGGGCUCAAGGGAGACAGCUCAGAUGCCCCAUUUCAUGCUAUCUUCUCUUAAUAAACGGAAAGAUCUCACUUUCUGACAAACUUCUGUAUCUUCAUCUUUACUGACAUGCAGA